AUCUUGGACAAUGGGCGCAAGCCUGAUCCAGCCAUGCCGCGUGGAUGAUGAAGGCCCUAGGGUUGUAAAAUCCUUUCGUUUGGGACGAUAAUGACGGUACCCAAAGAAGAAGCUCCGGCUAACUUCGUGCCAGCAGCCGCGGUAAUACGAAGGGGGCUAGCGUUGUUCGGAUUUACUGGGCGUAAAGCGCGUGUAGGCGGGUCGUUAAGUUGGGGGUGAAAUCCCGAGGCUCAACCUCGGAACUGCCUUCAAAACUGGCGACCUGGACUCAAGCAGAGGCAAGUGGAAUUGCGAGUGUAGAGGUGAAAUUCGUAGAUAUUCGCAGGAACACCAGUGGCGAAGGCGACUUGCUGGGCUUGUAGUGACGCUGAGACGCGAAAGCGUGGGGAGCAAACAGG
rnacentral:rRNA from 1 species